GCGGUAAUACAGAGGGUGCAAGCGUUAAUCGGAAUUACUGGGCGUAAAGCGCGCGUAGGUGGUUCGUUAAGUUGGAUGUGAAAUCCCCGGGCUCAACCUGGGAACUGCAUUCAAAACUGACGAGCUAGAGUAUGGUAGAGGGUGGUGGAAUUUCCUGUGUAGCGGUGAAAUGCGUAGAUAUAGGAAGGAACACCAGUGGCGAAGGCGACCACCUGGACUGAUACUGACACUGAGGUGCGAAAGCGUGGGGAGCAAACAGGAUUA
rnacentral:rRNA from 2 species